rnacentral:misc_RNA from 1 species
UUUAUAAAGCACCAGUUCAAUUUCUCACACUGCACUCCUGAGAAAAGAAAACCUGCUCAUGUCCAAUAAUUCUAGUCUCAAUCUGGUGUGCUGCAUAUGCAUUUGCAUUGCAACAUUCAUUUAGACAGACUAACAAUCACCCGGCAAUCAUCAGUCUAGUCUCAUAAAAGAUGUGAAAUUCACAGACAUACUACUUUAAUGACUGUACUAAAUGCUACGAGGAAAGUACAUAUAUUAUCAGAUUUCAAUCCUGGAUGAGAAAAGAAUACAUUGCAGAAUGAUUGAGAUCCAAACGGUCAUUUUGUGUGCUUUAAUCACCAGAUCCUAGAAUCCACUGCAAUCUCCUUUCCCGAAGUUCUCUUCCAAAUUGGAAAACAAAACUAGUACACAAGACUUCUGUUACAAUUAAAAGAUUGCUCUUUUACAUUUUCUGGCAACUACACAAGGAUGCAAAUAUAUGCAAAACCUUCAGAAAAAAAAAAUUAAAUAGAACAAAUUUGUAGUAAACUGUUAGUGUAUGCAAAUUAACUGUUGGUUGGGAAAAAUUAUGUGAGAUUUUUAUAAAAUUAACUAGCUAGUAUACAUGCAGUGUUGCAAAAUAUUUUGGGAUAUCACCAUGAAAAAGGGCUUGCUCCCAGCAAAAAAAUCUCAUUUUCAACAUCUUUCACCCAUUGACAAACCCUGUUGCAAGUCUUUAUUGCCAAAGCCUUGUCUGCAAGUGGAUCAAAUGCUGCAUAAAGUUCAAAAUCUGGGGUGACCCAACAGAGUAGUACUGUCACAAAGGGAGAAAAUAGAAACAAAUGUGAAAUCACCACGGCAGUUUUCUAACUAAUAAGAGAUUAUAAGCUAAAAUAAAAUCUAAUAGAAGAGAAUGAUAUAAAUAGUGCACAAUCUACCAUAAUUCUCAUCUCUUCUAAACUGUGUUUUGUGGGGCCCAUUUCCCUUAUCAUGCAUGGAAGCAUAAACUUUCUGGUAAGCUCUAUAUAAUCUUUUCUGCUGUUGUGGACUAUUAACUGGUGAUGAAAACUCAGAAGAUACAUAUUGAUCCAGAUAUAUACUGCGAUAUAUAAAAUGCCAAAGUCCAGCAGGACCACCGAUGCCUAAAUAUGAUUCCCUGAAUCUUUCAGGGUGAUCAGUCGGUAGUUUAUGCUGCCCUAGAUGAGGAGAAGCAGUUCCAGAACGAGGCAACGGAUCACCAGGCAGAUCCUCAACAUGCAUCCCACCAUCUAGCAUGGAUCUCUGAACUUCACUAAGAACAUUGGACUUCAAAAGAACCAUUUCAAUACGAAUCCUGCAAUCCUUAAGAUGAUAAAAGGCAUCCGAACUAGUAGUAAGCAACAUCAAGUACGUGUCAACAUCAAGAUAAUGGACAUAAGCAUAUAAAAAUGCCAGAGGAUUAUAUCUUGGGAGGCAAAUUGGUGAGAAAGAUUCAGAUGUCCUAAAUGAUUCUGAUGACAUAAUAAAGUUGGAAAGCAGCAGCAUGUCAUCAGGAUGGAGAGAAGCUUUUUGAGCACCGACUAGGCUGACAACUUUGUGUUUGCUCAUUAAUAUUGCAAAGAAGACUCCUGAAUCAGCAACAUCUUGCAAAAUCGCACCUGCAGCUUGCCUCGUUGCAUAAGCUAAAGGAAGACAAGUAUAUGCAUGAAGAAAUGUGGCUGGAUUCCAACUAAAUGAAUGUAUGAGAGAUGAGAAAACAACAUCUGUUCCUCCAAGCAAGGGUGUCAUAUCAAACUUUGGAUUCUUCUCAAAACAUCUAUUUACUGACUUCGUUAAAAUGAGUAUCAUCUGGCUGUAGAUAAGCUCCAAUUGCCCCUUUAAUGAUUCAUAUGGUUCUUCUGUGCAGCUGAUGCAAACUAGGUAAAUUGGUCCUUUCACAAGAAAAACCACCUGGUGCUUUCCAGCCCUAACCAAUUUGACACGAUCCCCCCCAUUCUCCACGAAGGAAAUAAUGGCUUGCAAUGUUGCUGAAAAUCCUGCUAGCUUGUGCUCAUCACCGUAUCUGGAAUAUAUGGGUUUCCCAGAGUGACUCAAUAUAAAGAAAUGCUUCUUCCUUUUCCUCCAUGAUAUGGAAGCAUCAUCCUGCACUCAUCGACAUGCCGUUUUCCAGGCACCCAAGCUGCUUGUGAGUCCAAAUUCCCAUCGACGUCGCCAUCAUUCCCAGCUUCCUGUAUCUCAUCUUCACUCACUUCGCCAAUCCUCGACGCACUCGUGACGCUACUACUUCCUCUCUCGCCAGCAUAUCCACUACUGCUAGGGCUCGAAGGCCCAUCCACUUUCAGCUCUGAGUUCGUCCUUCUCCACACAACAGCAUCGCCACUAUCGCCAAUGCCCCUAACUUCGCUUCCGACCUCAAUUCUCUCUUCUAAAGCGUUGAAUUCUUCGUGAUUACCGUUAUCGUCCAGCGAUCCAUUAAACGAAGACUCUAGUUGAGGCUCAGCCGUUGCUUCGUCGUUUUGGACGAUGCUAUUGGAUUCUUCAAUAGUAAAGGAUUCGAAUUGGUUUUCAAGGGGCUUAGAAUUAGUUUGUGGACCGUCGCCGGAGGAGGAUGAGGAGGUGGAGGACAUUGAUGUAAUUUCACAGAUACUAGGGAUUGGAAUUGGAGAUAUCGGUGAGAAAUGGUCAAGAGAUAGAGAGAGAAAAGGUUGAUAUUUUUGUAGAGUGGUUGUUGGUGGUGGCUUCAAGGCUCUGCGAAAGUGAAGCGAAGAGAGAGACGAGGUCUGAC